AUUGUGAACUGGAAAAGUCAGACAGUGCCUGUUGGGAGGCCCUGGCGCUGCUUCAGAGCAGGGAGCUCAUUCCAUGAGAAAUCAUGCAUGCAAGCAAGGG